rfam:Picea glauca, whole genome shotgun sequence.
ACCCACUUAAAUCAGUGGUAAGAGUAUUGCUUUCAUAUGGCAAGAGUCAUUGGUUUAAAUCCAAUAGUAGGUA